AACGAACGCUGGCGGCAGGCUUAACACAUGCAAGUCGAGCGCCCCGCAAGGGGAGCGGCAGACGGGUGAGUAACGCGUGGGAAUCUACCCAUCUCUACGGAAUAACGCAUGGAAACGUGUGCUAAUACCGUAUACGUCCUUCGGGAGAAAGAUUUAUCGGAGAUGGGUGAGCCCGCGUUGGAUUAGCUAGUUGGUGGGGUAAAGGCCUACCAAGGGGACGAUCCAUAGCGGGGUUGGGAGGAUGAUCCGCCACACUGGGACUGAGACACGGCCCAGACUCCUACGGGAGGCAGCGGUGGGGAAUAUUGGACAAUGGGCGCAAGCCUGAUCCAGCCAUGCCGCGUGAGUGAUGAAGGCCCUAGGGUUGUAAAGCUCUUUCACCGGUGAAGAUAAUGACGGUAACCGGAGAAGAAGCCCCGGCUAACUUCGUGCCAGCAGCCGCCGUAACAC
rnacentral:rRNA from 1 species